rnacentral:rRNA from 1 species
ACCUGCCCUAUGAAAUUUAUUUUAAAUGGCUGCGGUACUUUGACCGUGCAAAGGUAGCAUAAUAAUUAGUUUCUUAAUUGGGAACUGGAAUGAAUGGUCGAACGAGAAAAAUACUGUCUCAAUUUAAUUUAAAUUAGAAUUUUAUUUUUAAGUAAAAAAGCUUAAAUAUUCUUAAAAGACGAGAAGACCCUAUAGAGUUUUAUAUUGAUUAUUAUAAUUAAAAGUUAAAGUAUUUUAGAUUUGAUUAUAAUUUUAAGUAUUUGGUUGGGGCGAUUAAAAAAUUAAAUAAACUUUUUUUAGAAUUAAGCCAUUGAUAUAUGAAUAAGUGAUCC